rnacentral:rRNA from 1 species
AGAGUUUGAUCAUGGCUCAGGACGAACGCUGGCGGCAUGCCUAAUACAUGCAAGUCGAACGAGCUGACAGAGUGCUUGCACUCUCGACGCGAGUGGCGGACGGGUGAGUAACACGUGGGAAACCUACCUGUAAGUAGGGGAUAACAUUCGGAAACGGAUGCUAAUACCCUAUAGGUUUCAGUUCCGCAUGGAACUUAAAGGAAAGACGGCUUUGCUGUCGCUUACAGAUGGUCCCGCGGCGCAUUAGCUAGUUGGUGGGAUAAAAGCUCACCAAGGCUGUGAUGCGUAGCCGACCUGAGAGGGUAACCGGCCACACUGGGACUGAGACACGGCCCAGACUCCUACGGGAGGCAGCAGUAGGGAAUCUUCCGCGAUGGACGAAAGUCUGACGGAGCAAUGCCGCGUGAAUGAAGAAGGUCUUCGGAUCGUAAAAUUCUGUUGUUAGAGAAGAACAAGGGGUAGGUAACUACUACUCCCUGGACGGUAUCUAACCAGAAAGCCACGGCUAACUACGUGCCAGCAGCCGCGGUAAUACGUAGGUGGCAAGCGUUGUCCGGAUUUAUUGGGCGUAAAGGGAGCGCAGGCGGUGACUUAAGUCUGAUGUGAAAGCCCACGGCUCAACCGUGGAAGGUCAUUGGAAACUGGGUCACUUGAAUAUAGAAGAGGAAAGUGGAAUUCCAUGUGUAGCGGUGAAAUGCGUAGAUAUAUGGAGGAACACCAGUGGCGAAGGCGACUUUCUGGUCUAUUAUUGACGCUGAGGCUCGAAAGCAUGGGUAGC